UACGGAGGGUCCAAGCGUUAUCCGGAAUCAUUGGGUUUAAAGGGUCCGUAGGCGGUUUUGUAAGUCAGUGGUGAAAGCCCAUCGCUCAACGGUGGAACGGCCAUUGAUACUGCAAGACUUGAAUUAUUAGGAAGUAACUAGAAUAUGUAGUGUAGCGGUGAAAUGCUUAGAGAUUACAUGGAAUACCAAUUGCGAAGGCAGGUUACUACUAAUGGAUUGACGCUGAUGCACGAAAGCGUGGGUAGCGAACAGG
rnacentral:rRNA from 1 species